rnacentral:rRNA from 1 species
UUCCCGAGAGGGCCCCUCUGGCAUUAUGUGGGCGGACCGCCAACCGCUCAUCUUUUACUGUGAAAAAAUAAAGGUGUUCAAAGCCAGUUUAUCCCGCUGAAUAUAUUAUCAUGGAAUAAUAAAAUAGGACCUCGUUAUUAUUUUUUUGGUUUGCGCACCAAGGUUUGAUGAACAGGGACAGCUGGGGGUAUUUGUAUUUCCUUUGCCAAGGUGAAAUUUUUAAAUUUCCGAAAAACAAACUCUUGCCAAAGCUUUUACCCAGGAUUUUUUCAUUGACCAAAAACAAAAUUAUGGGGAUCGAAAAUAACUAAAUACCAUCGUAUUCUAUACCAUAAACUAUGCCAACACAAGAUGGGCGGGUGUUAUUUUGACCUCGUCUGCCUGUAUGAGAAAUCAAAGUCUUUGGGUUCCGGGGGGAGUAUGGACGCAAGGCUGAAACUUCAAGAAAUUGACGGAAGGGC